AAACCAACAAGAAUUGCUAACUCUCGCAUCUGAGUCUAAAACCU
rnacentral:tRNA from 1 species